rnacentral:rRNA from 1 species
AUACGUAGGGUGCUAGCGUUAUCCGGAUUUACUGGGCGUAAAGGGUGCGUAGGUGGUCUUUCAAGUCGGUGGUUAAAGGCUACGGCUCAACCGUAUUAAGCCGCCGAAACUGGAAGACUUGAGUGCAGGAGAGGAAAGUGGAAUUCUCAGUGUAGCGGUGAAAUGCGUAGAUAUUGAGAAGAAAACCAGUAGCGACGGCGGCUUUCUGGACUGUAACUGACACUGAGGCACGAAAGCGUGGGUAGCAAACAGGAUUAGAUACCCUGGUAGUCCACGCCGUAAACGAUGAGUAUUAGGUGUCGGGGGUUACCCCCCUCGGUGCCGCAGUUAACGCAUUAAAUACUCCGCCUGGGGAGUACGCACGCAAGUGUGAAACUCAAAGGAAUUGACGGGG